CUGUAUCUGCGAGCAUACACCCUCCUCAACCUCUGGCACCGGCUCCACCACUGGUUGGCUUAAAUGGAAGUUGUAGCGGUAGUGUCAGCCUGGUUAGCAGUGGUGCUAGCAGCAGUAGCAGUAGUGGUGUAUUUGCAAGCUUAUUUGCCUCCUCGACUGUAUCUGCAAGCAUACAACCUCCUCAACCUCCGGCUUUAACCAACUUAAUUCGAGCUGACCUAGCUCCAUCUACAUCAAUUGAACCAAUUUCUUUAUGCCUCUCGACCAGCCAUGGCUCGUCGAUAUUCGGAACUACAGGGCAAGAGCGUCGGCAGCAUGCACCGCCACUGCAAC
rnacentral:lncRNA from 1 species